rnacentral:misc_RNA from 1 species
GCUCCGUAGGUGAACCUGCGGAGGGAUCAUUACAGAGUCCAUGCCCCACCGGGUAGAUCUCCCACCCUAUGUUAUUAUUACUUUGUUGCUUUGGCGGGCCGUUAGGCUCCGGCCCGACUACCGGCCCCGGCUGGUAAGCGCCCGCCAGAGGACCCAAAACCCUGAAUAUUAGUGUCGUCUGAGUACUAUAUAAUAGUUAAAACUUUCAACAACGGAUCUCUUGGUUCUG